AUUGAAACACCGGUUCGCGUACGAUCACUGAAGUUAAGCAACAUUGAGCCUUAUCAGUACCCAGAUAGGUGACCCCUAGGG